UACGAAGGGUGCAAACGUUGCUCGGAAUCAUUGGGCGUAAAGCGCACGUAGGCGGCUUUGCAAGUCGGACGUGAAAUCCCUCAGCUCAACUGAGGAAGUGCAUCCGAAACUGCAAGGCUUGAGUACUGAAGAGGAUCGCGGAAUUCCCGGUGUAGAGGUGAAAUUCGUAGAUAUCGGGAGGAACACCAGUGGCGAAGGCGGCGACCUGGGUAGAUACUGACGCUGAGGUGCGAAAGCGUGGGGAGCAA
rnacentral:rRNA from 1 species